rnacentral:rRNA from 1 species
UGGGGAAUAUUGGACAAUGGGCGGAAGCCUGAUCCAGCAACGCCGCGUGAGGGAUGACGGCCUUCGGGUUGUAAACCUCUUUCAGUACCGACGAAGCGAAAGUGACGGUAGGUACAGAAGAAGGACCGGCCAACUACGUGCCAGCAGCCGCGGUAAUACGUAGGGUUCGAGCGUUGUCCGGAAUUAUUGGGCGUAAAGGGCUCGUAGGCGGUUUGUCGCGUCGGGAGUGAAAACAGCGGGCUUAACUCGUUGCUUGCUUUCGAUACGGGCAGACUAGAGGUAUGCAGGGGAGAAUGGAAUUCCUGGUGUAGCGGUGAAAUGCGCAGAUAUCAGGAGGAACACCGGUGGCGAAGGCGGUUCUCUGGGCAUUACCUGACGCUGAGGAGCGAAAGUGUGGGGAGCGAACAGGAUUAGAUACCCUGGUAGUCCACACCGUAAAACGUUGGGCGCUAGGUGUGGGGUCCUUUCCACGGAUUCCGUGCCGUAGCUAACGCAUUAAGCGCCCCGCCUGGGGAGUAC